rnacentral:rRNA from 1 species
UUUAAACGGCCGCGGUACUCUGACCGUGCAAAGGUAGCAUAAUCAUUUGCCCUUUUAUUGGGGGCUAGUAUGAAUGGAAUCACGAGGCCCUAGCUGUCUCUCUUUUUUGAUGGGAAGUUGCUUUUUUUGUGAAGAAGCAAAAGUUUAGAAAAAAGACAAGAAGACCCUAUUAAGCUUGACCUGUUUUUUUAUAUUUUUUCGUUUUAUAAUAGAAAUAUAUAAAAUAAUGGUUUGAUUGGGGUGAUAAAAAAAGAAAAAAUCUUUUUGCAAAUAUAAGACGUGUGUGUUUAAAAAUGGGCCAAGAUUUUUGAUAAAGUGAAUAAGUUACUAUAGGGAUAACAGCGUAAUUUUUUCUGAGAGUUCUUAUUGAAGAAAGAGAUUGCGACCUCGAUGUUGACUUGUUGUCUCCUUUGGGUGCAGAAGCCCUAAGGGUUAGUCUGUUCGACUAUUAAAACAAU